GAGCUACUGCUAUCGGGNUUCGAUUAAGCCAUGCGAGUUAAAUGUUNUUCGUGAACAUAGCGAACUGCUCAGUAACACGUGGAUAACCUACCCUUAGGACCGGAAUAACCCCGGGAAACUGGGGAUAAUACCGGAUAAGCCAUAGACGCUGGAAUGCCCUAUGGUUCAAAGCUCCGGCGCCUAAGGAUGGAUCUGCGGUCUAUCAGGUUGUAGUGGGUGUAACGUACCUACUAGCCGACGACGGAUACGGGUUGUGAGAGCAAGAGCCCGGAGAUGGAUUCUGAGACACGAAUCCAGGCCCUACGGGGUGCAGCAGGCGCGAACACUUUACAAUGCGGGAAACCGCGAUAAGGGAACCCCGAGUGCCAGCAUCAAAUGUUGGCUGUCCAGAUGAUUAAAAAUCAUUUGUUAGCAAGGGCCGGGCAAGACCGGUGCCAGCCGCCGCGGUAACACCGGCGGCCCGAGUGGUAGCCGUUUUUAUUGGGUCUAAAGGGUCCGUAGCCGGCCUGAUAAGUCCUUUGGGAAAUCUGGCAGCUUAACUGUCAGGCUUCUAAGGGAUACUGUCAGGCUUGGGACCGGAAGAGGUAAGGGGUACUCCAGGGGUAGGAGUGAAAUCUUGUAAUCCCUGGGGGACCAUCUGUGGCGAAGGCGCCUUACCAGAACGGGUCCGACGGUGAGGGACGAAAGCUAGGGGAGCAAACCGGAUUAGAUACCCGGGUAGUCCUAGCUGUAAACGAUGCUCGCUAGGUGUCAGACACGGUGCGACCGUGUUUGGUGCCGCAGGGAAGCCGUUAAGCGAGCCACCUGGGAAGUACGGUCGCAAGGCUGAAACUUAA
rnacentral:rRNA from 1 species